rnacentral:rRNA from 1 species
UACAGAGGGUGCGAGCGUUAAUCGGAUUUACUGGGCGUAAAGCGUGUGUAGGUGGUUUGUUAAGUCGGAUGUGAAAGCCCUGGGCUCAACCUGGGAACUGCAUUCGAUACUGGCAGGCUAGAGUACGGUAGAGGGAGGCGGAACUCCGGGUGUAGCGGUGAAAUGCGUAGAUAUCCGGAAGAACACCGAUGGCGAAGGCAACCUCCUGGGCCUGUACUGACACUGAGACACGAAAGCGUGGGGAGCAAAC